rnacentral:rRNA from 1 species
CGGGGGGGCAAGCGUUGUUCGGAAUUACUGGGCGUAAAGGGCGCGUAGGCGGUUCGCUAAGUCGGAUGUGAAAACUCUGGGCUCAACCCAGAGCCUGCAUCCGAAACUGGCGGGCUAGAGUUCUGGAGGGGGUAGCGGAAUUCCUGGUGUAGCGGUGAAAUGCGUAGAUAUCAGGAGGAACACCGGUGGCGAAGGCGGCUACCUGGACAGAAACUGACGCUGAGGCGCGAAAGCUAGGGGAGCAAAACAGGAUUAGAUACCCUGGUAGUCCUAGCCCUAAACGAUGGAUACUUGGUGUGACGGGGAUUGAAUCCCGUCGUGCCGAAGCUAACGCAUUAAGUAUCCCGCCUGGGGAGUACGGUCGCAAGGCUG